rnacentral:rRNA from 1 species
GAUCUGGUAGAUAGGCUGGAAGUGGAAGAGUUGCGAGACUUGGAGCGGACCAGUACUAAUCGCUCGAGGACUUUACCAAAA